AGACCAUGAGGCGGGCAUUUCCUUAAUAACUCCUUGAGCUUUUUCCAUGUUUCCAACAAAGAUUCCCCGUCGUUUUGAGAGUAUGAAUUAAUAUCGGUCAUGAGUUU
rfam:Helianthus annuus linkage group 16, whole genome shotgun sequence.